GCGAGAAGGAAAAACGACUGGAGGUGAAACUUAGAAAGAGGAAAGAAAAAAAUACUACGAAAAGUUUUCCGAAUAAUAUUUUGGAUGAAGUGGAACUUUUUGAAAAGAAAAAACCUUUAAGCGGAAAAAGAAAGAACUUUUUAACUCAAAAGAAACUGAAAAAGCGAAAAAAAAAAGAUCUUGAGGUUCAAUCUGAGAGUUUAAAUCAAAUUGAAGUUAUUAAAUUUGGCGAGGUAGCCAGCGCGCCUCCCGUGUUCCCUGCUACGUUGAAGCUUCCUACUAAAAAAAAACGACUUCUGUUCCUGAAUAAAAGCUGAAGGCGUUUACGCGGCUAUACGGGUCGUGAGUAUAUUUAUAA